ensembl:lncRNA
GGAUUUGCAAAAAAACUUGACUUUUCGCAUUACAUUUAAAAAAAAUAAAAAAUAAAAUAAUUUUCGACCAAACACAUUUAGAUUUUUCUUUUGAUUUUUUUAUGUUUUUCAACCUAACCAACAACAAUUUUUUCGAAAAAUAUUUUUGUGCUUUUAUUUCAUUACAUUAUUUCUAUAUUUUGGCCUGGCAGGCCCGGUCAGGACGGAGAACCGACAGAAAUAGAAGCUUUUCGGGAGCAACGCAUGAACGUUUAUGGAGGUCUGCUGACGGAGAGCCUGGGACCAUUUCGAAAAAUUGUCCUCCUUAACAACGUGAACGUGAGAUAAAAGGGUCCAGGUUAAAGUUACGUCAUCUGGUACAUACCCAUCUGCAAAUGAUGGAAUCUGAUCAGUUCCCGAGGGGUUUGAUUCUGUUAUGAUUUAAGUUAAUUCCGCUUCAGGUCCCAGCUCGUGUGCUGCCUGUCUUGAUGGAACUUUCUUGCGCAGAAACACCCAGAAGCGACAGUGAUGAUGAAAACUACUUAGAUCCUCCGUCUCGGUCGGGCCAUUGAAGGCGGGGGGGGGAUCCUUUUGUCGACGUGGUCAAACCGGUACGGCUGCAGAGGCGUUGUGCGUAAACCCGUUAACAGUGAGGACACGUUGCCGUGCCCAGCUGACGCAUGGCGGGAUGGAAAAGGGAAAAGCGGGCCAACCGAGCUGUCAACGCAACCCUGAGCGCCUGCAGAGGAUCACGCGGGGAUCAACUGGAUUAUUAGCAGAUCGACAAAGAGCUGCUCGGGCAGCACCACAGAAAGUGUGUGCAUGAAAACGAGCAGUGUGCUACGACAGAAAGGCCUUUUCCUCUCCGAGACAAAGCGUCACGGCUCCCUCCCGAUUGACCAGGAGGACUCGCUUUGUCGAAUGAACUAAGUGACUUAUUUGAAAUAAAUAGAAAAAACAG